AUUGAACGCUGGCGGCAUGCUUUACACAUGCAAGUCGAACGGCAGCACGGGCUUCGGCCUGGUGGCGAGUGGCGAACGGGUGAGUGAUGCAUCGGAACGUACCGUGUAGUGGGGGAUAACGUAGCGAAAGUUACGCUAAUACCGCAUACGCCCCGAGGGGGAAAGUGGGGGACCGCAAGGCCUCACGCUAUAUGAGCGGCCGAUGUCGGAUUAGCUAGUUGGUAGGGUAAAGGCCUACCAAGGCGACGAUCCGUAGCGGGUCUGAGAGGAUGAUCCGCCACACUGGGACUGAGACACGGCCCAGACUCCUACGGGAGGCAGCAGUGGGGAAUUUUGGACAAUGGGCGCAAGCCUGAUCCAGCCAUGCCGCGUGAGUGAAGAAGGCCUUCGGGUUGUAAAGCUCUUUCAGACGGAAAGAAAUCUCCUGGGCGAAUACCCUGGGAGGAUGACGGUACCGUAAGAAGAAGCACCGGCUAACUACGUGCCAGCAGCCGCGGUAAUACGUAGGGUGCGAGCGUUAAUCGGAAUUACUGGGCGUAAAGCGUGCGCAGGCGGUGAUGUAAGACAGAUGUGAAAUCCCCGGGCUCAACCUGGGAACUGCGUUUGUGACUGCAUCACUCGAGUACGGCAGAGGGAGGUGGAAUUCCGCGUGUAGCAGUGAAAUGCGUAGAUAUGCGGAGGAACACCGAUGGCGAAGGCAGCCUCCUGGGCCAGUACUGACGCUCAUGCACGAAAGCGUGGGGAGCAAA
rnacentral:rRNA from 1 species